rfam:Triticum aestivum genome assembly, contig: Triticum_aestivum_CS42_TGACv1_scaffold_210431_3AS
UGAAUACUCCCUCCGUCCAGAAAUACUUGUCCGAGAAAUGCAUAAAAAUAAAUGUAUCUAAAACUAAAAUACAUCUACAUACAUCCAUUCCUCCGACGAGUAUUUCCGGACGAAUGGAGUAGUAA